rnacentral:tRNA from 1 species
GCCUGGUUGGCUCUGUUGGUGGAGUAUGUGACUCUUGAUCUUGGGGUUGUGAGUUUGAGCCCCACAUUGGGUA